AUGUUAUCUAAUCUGUUGGCAUACUGUUGUUCUUGAUGUGUGUGAGGUCUCUGAGAACAUCCCUGCCUUCACUCCUGCUUUUAGUCACUGGCAUCUUCUUUUAGCUUGGGCCGUCUGGCUGUGCAUGGUUUUGGGGGAGUCCUCCUUGACCAUGCAGAUGCUGAGCAGUGACCUGGCUGGGAAAGGGGACCGGGAGUGCAGGGCACCUGCUGAGGACUCACCUAAGCCCAAGAUUCAGAGAGUCAGGGCUCCAACCACAUCCACCUGCAUGCCUUUCCCAGGCUCUCCCCACACAGACAGCCAGCGCCUCCUCCUCCCCAAAGACUGGGCAGUUCCUGACUAGCACCCCACCAAGUCCUCAGUAAGGCCUGUCUUUGGGGGAGCAGGGUCUCAGGAGGAUAGCGGAGGUGGUGUGGAACUCAUGGCUGGUGGUUCCGGGCCUCUCAGGAAGCUUUGCCACUGGCUUGGGGUUAAGUGGGUGUGGAGCUCUGAACCCUAAAGGGGUGAGAGUUGAAAUGGAAGUGGCAUCUGUAGUCCAUUUGGGGUGCAGGUGCGUGCCAGGGGUCCUCAGCCCCGGCUGAUGGCCACAUGAACCACGUGAGGAGAGGCAGGGCAUGUCAGCAGCAACCCUAAGUGUGUGCUCAUUUCUGUGGGCCCUGACUCGGUGACACUGCGGCUCUCCAGAGGGACGCUUUGAAAACAAAACAGGAAAGAACAUAUGGUCCCGCGUCUUUUGCCUGAGUCACUGUAUUCCUUAAAAGAUGAAGGACCCUGGUCCUUGGCUUUUCCUGCACAUGAGAAAAUGUUGGCCGAGGUUAGCGAUUAUGCGUCUGUAAUCUGUAACCAGAAGUGCUGUUACGCCCAAGCCUUGGUGUGAUUCUGCUGUCAUGUAACUUCAGAGCCAGCUGGAUGGAUUUGACUGUGCAGGUCCUGAGCCCCGGCCCCCACAUCCAAGCAGUGGGCUGGGACACUGAGCCGGGCAGUCAGACAGGACCUCUCUAAGGCUGCCCCCCGGGCUGGGGCCUGGGUCUAGGAUUCUCAGUAAGACAUUUGAAUAAAACUAACUUGAAUUCUUGAAAA